rnacentral:rRNA from 1 species
AUGACUGUCAAGUCAGCAUGACCUUUAUAUCCAGGGCUACACACACGCUACAAUGGUCUGUACAAUGGGUAGCCAAGCCGCGAGGCGGAGCCAAUCCUGAAAGCAGGCCUCAGUUCAGAUUGCAGUCUGCAACUCGACUGCAUGAAGCCGGAGUUGCUAGUAACCGCAGGUCAGCAAUACUGCGGUGAAUACGUUCCCGGGUCUU